UUUAGGGUUUUUAACCCACAAGUAAUGUUUAAGUCCAUGACUUAAUGUAGGUGUGAUUAUGAACUAACUUGGGUUGUCGAACAUAAAAUCCCCACAUUGCUUGAUAAUUUCUUAUAGUGUAGUUUUUUAUAUUCUUGUAUUAUUCAUAGUUCAUGACCAUCCUUGUAGGUUUUUACAUCAAGUGUAGUGGUGAACAGUUAUGGGUACCUAAAUGGAAGACUUCUCUUCCUACCUCCUACAUGAUUUCCAUGAUACUUAGAGAAGGACCUGGUGUUCCAACCUCCUAAUCAACAACAACUCACUCACGGAUUCAGGAAGAAGACUUGCAAAACCGUUGAGGAUUGAUGAUGCUAUGAAAUGGAUUAGCAAUGAUGCCUA